rnacentral:rRNA from 1 species
GAUGAACGCUGGCGGCGUGCCUAAUACAUGCAAGUCGAGCGAACGGACGAGAAGCUUGCUUCUCUGAUGUUAGCGGCGGACGGGUGAGUAACACGUGGAUAACCUACUUAUAAGACUGGGAUAACUUCGGGAAACCGUAGCUAAUACCGGAUAAUAUUUUGAACCGCAUGGUUCAAAAGUGAAAUACGGUCUUGCUGUCACUUAUAGAUGGAUCCGCGCUGCAUUAGCUAGUUGGUAAGGUAACGGCUUACCAAGGCAACGAUGCAUAGCCGACGUGAGAGAGUGAUCGGCCACACUGGAGCUGAGACACGGUCCAGACUCCUACGGGAGGCAGCAGUAGGGAAUCUUACGCAGUAGGCGAAAGCCUGACGGAGCAGGGCCGCGUGAGUGAUGAAGGUCUUCGGAUCGUAAAACUCUGUUAUUAGGGAAGAACAUAUGUGUAAGUAACUGUGCACAUCUUGACGGUACCUAAUCAGAAAGCCACGGCUAACUACGUG